GGGGUCCCCAGGGGUUGUUGCAAUAGGGGCAGAGCACUGCGGUCUCUUGGGGCCGCGGAUGCUACUCCCCCGUGAACAGCAGCGGGAGAUGCCCAUGUGUUUCCCCGUCGGCUGCUGUCCGCUUGUCCACCAAGGGCAGUGAGCACGUGCCGCUGCGGCGGCAUGGCCCCCGUGGCAAUGUCAUCUGGGAGGAGAGGAGCCCUCCAGGGCGCGACGGCGAUUGCAGCAGAGCCUGGAUUUCCGGGGGUGUCAGCACGGACGCCGCCAAAGCCUGGUGCUGUCUUCUUCCCUCGCUUCAGCUGCUCCCGUGCUGCAUCUGCUGUCAUCCCCCCCGGCUGAAAUCUGGCCACUCUUGCAGGCGUGCGUGUCCUUCAACAAGGCCUGAUGUCCUGCCUGCCUGCAGCCCCGCGCUGGCCACAGUCAGGUGUGGGGCAUCGGUUCCUGUUUGUCAGUCGAAUAUUCUUCCAACGGGACAGUCCUCCUGCUGCAGACGGAGGUUUCCCUGUCUGCUGCUCUCCCCGAGCCGAUCCCAACACGCUGCCACAGCCUGGGCCCGGUCUGUUAGGCUGCAGAAGGGGAUUUGAUUCGGAUCCAUCUGUCCCCCUUUCCCCUGGGCUGGUUCCCUUGCAGGGUACAACCGCCCUGCAGCUGUGCGGACACCCGGGGAGGAAUCUCCAAGCAGAUAAGGUAUUCGGAGCUGGUGGAAACGAAACAGCCUUGACCCGUCUUGGUUUCCACUCGCCAGCUCCCACUGAGACGGAUAUCACGGCACAGCCCCACGCUCCCUCCCUGGCUCCCGCCGAGCCGAGCACUCAUAAGCAGCAGCAUGUGGAUAUGUAUAUCUACAUGUAUUUUUUUUCCCUUUCCCCUCCUGGCGCACUGAAGGUUUUGAAAGUUAAGUAUUACUGUCUGCUUUGUUGUUGCCUAACUACGACAGACAAAUUGAGAACUAGUUGUCAAAAUGUCAGUGCACAACAAAUCAACAUUCAAAAUGAGUCUCAGCGCUAUGUGGUGUAUAAUUAAAAAAAAAUCCUUUUUAGAAAUUUCAGCAAGCGUUGGCUCCGCUUUAUAUUUGUCUGUGUGAUUAAUAAAGGCAGCUAAUUUUCAGACUUUAAAAACAGCUAGAAAAUAGCUCCUAAUUACAUAUUAGGUUCCAAGCAGCCCCCGCUGAGCAAGGCACGUAUUGGUGGGCCAGAGAUUUUGGCAGGGGCUUAAUUACGUUCUGCGCAUCAUCUAAUUUUAGUUAAAUGUAAUGUAAUCAGCAGCAGAUGUCUGAAAUAAAAUAUGAAUUAUGAAUAUGAUGAAAUUUCAUUCUUGAAUAAAAAAGUAAUUUGCUAUUUAGUUCAUUAAAGUCGCAGAGGUUUAUUAGGAGCAGGUACCCAGCUCGGCUAGGUUAUGUUGAAAUGACAUUUCGCCGAGGGGAAGGGAUGGCACCGAACGAUUCUGUGCCGGGAAUCCGGCGCGGGGGGUAAACGUUUAAGAGGAAUUAAAUAACUGAGUCUCUCUCGUUACAGCGAGUUUAAAGUCAUCCACAGUGAGUUCACCUCUCUGGCCUGCGGGCAAAGGGCUGUAUCGCGGCUGUUUCGUGGGAGACACCUGGCGCUCGGCAUUUCAGAGCAGACAGAGCACUGGAAGGCAACGAGGGGAAGUACUGUCAUGGCAAGAAGUGGGGGACCCUGGAAAUGGAAGAAGCCAGUCUUUUCUGUGCCGCUCAUGCUGGAACCAGCGGGAAUGUGUCUCCCCAUUGAUCUAAUAUCAGCACGGUCCAAUGAUCAGUGGUAAAAAAAAAUAGCCCCGUGGCCUGUCUAGAAGACAACUCCUGGCACGGCUGUGGGCACAGGAUGGUGGUUGGCACAACAGUCGAGGGCAUCGUCGCGCCGCACAAGUGAACGCACAGCAGCGGUGGGAGCUGGACUUGCCCAUUGUCGUCCGUGUUGUGCUUUGCUGAACGAACCGCGUGCCGGGCUGGCAUAACGGAUGCGGCUGUGGGUAGCUCGUGCGUGGUCUAGCCGGGUGCGGGGAUGGCUGUGUCGCAGAUCUCUGCAAUUGGAAAAUGGCAUCUUCUCCCUCUGCCCCGGACAAAGCCCAUUCUUUUCCCCAGAGCAAGCGGCUGCCCUGGCCUGGAGCAGGGGACUCACCAGCCAGGCAUUUUCUCCGUGCUGACCAAUUGGACUAUUUCCCACCAUUAUUUGGGAAAGAAAAAUGACAAAGUGCUGUGUAUUGACUGGCUCCUGUGACCCCAGCCGGUAGGCUUUCCCCAGCCCCUGCAUCCCCCUGGCCCUGAGCGGGAAGGGGCUGUGAUAGGGGUGAGAGGGCAGGUCUCACUGCUCAGACUGUGGGGUGCUGUGGCUCCAAGGAGCUGGGAAACGGACCCCUCCGUCCUCUAGAUCUCAGUGUGCUUUCUAGGGGGCCUGUGUUGCCAUCUCCAUGCAAAGAGCAUCCUUAUUUCUGGAGCUCCCUGAGGCCGAUCCUUGCCCUCCCACCUGCCUGAAGCCCCAUCUCAUCUCGGCACGUAUUACUCUUACCCUGCCUUCCCUGCCACUUUCUUUGCAAAGCGUGAGGGAACACCUCGGAGUUACCCAGAAGCUGUUGAAAGUGGCCCACCACACGCUGCCUUAUUAGUCCCUUUGGUUUUGUAUUAAUUAGCAUUGUGCGACUGUUACAACUUUGAACCCUUUGGUUUUGUAUUAAUUAGCAUUGUGGCAGUGUUACAACUUUGAACGGGUGGAUUUAAUGUCAUAGGAGCCUGAAGUGGUUCAGCCUGCCCCCAGGCCAGCUGGGGUCCCCGGGGAACUUCAGCAGUGCUUUAGCAAAGCACGUGUGUGGUGACCUUGGUGCCAGGAGGCCCAGUCUCUGCCCCUCAGUUACAACCUGCCCAUGCCCAAGCUCCCCUGCGGCAUUUCUUUUGCACUGUCCCCAUCCUCGCUGACUUCCAGAGUCCAGCGGUGUAGAAGUACAGUCGUUCAGCCAAGCAGUCUUUCCUCCUGCUUAUACCCAGGCCUAUUGGGGUUGGAUUCUGCUUCGGCUAUGACCGGCCAUGCAUCCAUCAAAGCCGGCAGCAUUUCUCCGGACUGAUGUGGGUGUAAGACCAGAAUCGGGCCCAGGGGUGCACUGCUUACGCGAGGAAGGACAAGUUGCAUAGCGAGGGGUCUGCGUGAGCUGCUUUCUUUGGCGGUGCAGCCUGGUCUGUCGUCGUGGAGGAAGCAGGCAUUCAAAUGAACCACGUUUGACUUUGAGUUACGGCAUAACGAGCUGGCUGUUUCUUUGCUGAAGGCAUGGUAGAGUUGCACCUUAUAGACUGACUGAUGGAGAUAUAUCUACGUAGAUAUAGCACAAGCUUUUGUGAGCUAAGGCACCCUUCUUCAGAUGGUGGGCAGUGUCCACCACACCGAAUAGCACCGUAGCGCAUUUCCAACAGGACUUUGCCUGCCAGGGCUGCGCACAAAAUUGCUUUUCACGUCGUGGCAUCUGACAUGUUGCUGAACAGGCUGCGGUAUCUGGGCUGUGGUUCCCGCCUGCCGUCACGACUCUACAGGAUGCUGUGAGAGCGCUGAGCACUGAUGCACUAGCUUAGAGAGAGGGCUGCCCGGUUCCUAAAUUUGGUCUCUGAGGAAUAGCCUGAGCAGCAGGCAAGCAUUAGAGCAUUAAGCAUCUCAAGUGCCAGCGCACGGAGCAGAGCACUCUUCUCCCCCACCUGCCCGGGGCAGAGCUUGGUGACGGGCAGGUCCAGCAGCACCGCAUUGUUCGUGGUCAUCGCGGCGAGGGGAGCGAACACGAGCUAUGCACAGGCAGGCCUUCCCUGAAAAAACUUGGAUGAGCUGUUUGUUCUCCUCCUGGCUUCCUGUUGCCGUUCACAGCUGAUGAGCCCCAUCCAUUAUACCAGCUCAUUAGCACCAUUGGACCUUGCGAAUGAAAAGGAUCGUUUUAUGUAUUGAACAAGCGGACGCAAAAUGGAAAUGCGUCUGGGCUGGCUGCGUUGGCGAGGCCUGCCGGCGGUGUGGUGGACCCAUCUCUUCUGUGCUGGGUUCUCGCUGUGGCCGGCGGAGACCCUAUUUGAUGGAUCAGUAGUCUGAUCCAUUGAGACAGCCAGGCUAUAUAAGGACCAGCAAGCUGAUCCCGUAUGUCAAGAGGUGAACUAUCAGGGGAGCCGCAGCUAUGAUCUGAUGAGGUGUGGAAGGAUGUGCAAUAUGGGACAAUGUGGACUAGUAGGCUGACCUCGUAUGCCGCAAGUGCGAGGCAGCAGGGAAGAAGCCAGGACACUUGACUAUAUGGAGCAGGGGCAGGAUUUAUCAUAUGCAGUCACUGCUUCCUUCUUUUCCUAAAGCAUCGUGGAUGAAUGAAUCAAUUAGCAUCCUGCCAGUGGUUAGCCCAGUGUGACCCCCUUCUGGUGGGCUCCCUGCGGGACUGGAGCUUGAGGGAGCCUCAGUCUGCUGGCACGUUUGCUCUCCGUGAACAAGGAGGAGUCUCUGCUUCCCAGCCCCUUGCACCCACCUGCUGGGGUUUGGACUCUGUGGCCUGAUGGGGAGAAACUCUGGCCCCUCCGUGGCUUAUCCCCGCCGGCGCCGUUCUCCCAGGCCUCAGUGCUGUGUCAGGGAGUGACCAGCCAGCAUUUGUUUUGUAAUUUAUGGAGGGAGGCAGACAGCGUGGGUGAGUGAGUGCACUGGCCAGCAACUGUAAUGUUUUAUACGCCAGGGCUGGCGCGGGUAAUUUACUGCGCCCGGCAAUAACAUAUUUCACUUCCCGUCUCCCAGAUGAAGAUUACUUGUGUUUGAAAGUGCCUGAAUACACAGUCAAUUCCGCUUAAACGUUUACAGUCAACUGAGCAAAGAUAAUGCCCCUGAAAACACCAGCGUCUGGGCCUCGCGCAGCAAGGUAAUGAGAGGGCUGGGAAGGCCAACCGGGGAUCCCACCGCGUCCAAGGGGCAGCCAGUGCCCCCGGCAGA